UACGUAGGGGGCAAGCGUUGUCCGGAUUUAUUGGGCGUAAAGAGCGUGUAGGCGGUCAGGUAGGUCCGUUGUGAAAACUCGAGGCUCAACCUCGAGACGCCGAUGGAAACCAUCUGACUAGAGUCCGGAAGAGGAGAGUGGAAUUCCCGGUGUAGCGGUGAAAUGCGCAGAUAUCGGGAGGAACACCAAUGGCGAAGGCAGCUCGCUGGGACGGUACUGACGCUGAGGCGCGAAAAGCGUGGGGAGCAAACAGG
rnacentral:rRNA from 1 species